GGCGUGGUGGCAUAGUGGUUAGCACAUUUGCCUUGCAAAGCCUUGGGGGUUCGAAUCCCACCUCAGUGG